rnacentral:sRNA from 1 species
UAUUGAUGUUGGUCUAAGUUACCCUAAA